rnacentral:rRNA from 1 species
AGUGAACGCUGGCGGUAGGCCUAACACAUGCAAGUCGAACGGCAGCACAGUAAGAGCUUGCUCUUACGGGUGGCGAGUGGCGGACGGGUGAGGAAUACAUCGGAAUCUACUUUUUCGUGGGGGAUAACGUAGGGAAACUUACGCUAAUACCGCAUACGACCUACGGGUGAAAGCAGGGGAUCUUCGGACCUUGCGCGAUUGAAUGAGCCGAUGUCGGAUUAGCUAGUUGGCGGGGUAAAGGCCCACCAAGGCGACGAUCCGUAGCUGGUCUGAGAGGAUGAUCAGCCACACUGGAACUGAGACACGGUCCAGACUCCUACGGGGGGCAGCAGUGGGGAAUAUUGGACAAUGGGCGCAAGCCUGAUCCAGCCAUACCGCGUGGGUGAAGAAGGCCUUCGGGUUGUAAAGCCCUUUUGUUGGGAAAGAAAAGCAGCAGGUUAAUACCCCGCCGUUCUGACGGUACCCAAAGAAUAAGCACCGGCUAACUUCGUG